AUGUUCCCUGCAUCUCUGCUGCUGCUUCUUGCAGCUGCAUCCUGUGUAAAGUCUAAUGUUGAACUCACCCAGCCAGGUUCCUUGACUGUAAAGCCAGGACAGUCUCUGACCAUCUCCUGUAAAGUCUCUGGGUAUUCUGUGACUGAUAACAACUAUGCUACAGGAUGGAUUCGACAGCCUGCAGGGAAAGCUAUGGAGUGGAUUGUACACAUGUGGGGUGGUGGGAACACUUAUUACAAAGAUUCUCUAAAGAACAAGUUCAGCAUCUCCAGAGACACCUCCAGCAGUACAGUGUCUUUGCAAGGAAGCAGCCUGCAGACUGAAGACACAGCUGUGUAUUACUGUGCCCGACAGCCACAGUGA